CCCACACUUGCUAUGAGGCAGGUCGGGGGCUCAUUUCCACUGGGCAAUGCUUGCUGCCCAGUUGCUAAAAUGGCCUCUGGGGUGGACCACCUGGCACUCCGCAUUCUUCUUAGUGCUCACCGAGUACUCCAAGCACUCCAUCAGACACCAUAACCACCGUAAACCCUGCAGCCAGUGUUACAGCUUGGUUGGGGUCUCGGUGUCCUCCACCCACCCUGGACCCAAGACCGGGAUCCAGCUUCCAGUGGGUAGACCUCUCCUUCCCCAGAGAGUAUAGCAGGAUAGCUCUUGCAAGAGCUAGUGAUUAUAAUCCAAGGGAGUAUAAUGAGUAUGGCAAUCCCCAGAGUGAAUAUAGCUGUUCCCUCCACAAAUGAGACGAGGCUCUAUAUUGAGGGUGAAGAGGAACCCUUUUUAUUGGCUGCCACAACUGGCCUCAUAUGCAGGUCCUCAUGCAAGGGGCACUC